GAUGAACGCUGGCGGCGUGCUUAACACAUGCAAGUCGAGCGAGUGAGUUCUUCGGAACGAUCUAGCGGCGGACGGGUGAGUAACACGUGGGCAACCUGCCUCAUAGAGGGGAAUAGCCUCCCGAAAGGGAGAUUAAUACCGCAUAAAAUUAUCGAGUGGCCUCACAUGAUAAUCAAAGGAGUAAUCCGCUAUGAGAUGGGCCCGCGGCGCAUUAGCUAGUUGGUGAGGUAACGGCUCACCAAGGCGACGAUGCGUAGCCGACCUGAGAGGGUGAUCGGCCACAUUGGGACUGAGACACGGCCCAGACUCCUACGGGAGGCAGCAGUGGGGAAUAUUGCACAAUGGGGGAAACCUUGAUGCAGCAACGUCGCGUGAGUGAUGAAGGUCUUCGGAUUGUAAAGCUCUGUCUUUGGGGACGAUAAUGACGGUACCCAAGGAGGAAGCCACGGCUAACUACGUGCCAGCCGCCGCCGUAA
rnacentral:rRNA from 1 species